UAGGGAAUCUUCCACAAUGGACGCAAGUCUGAUGGAGCAACGGCCGCGUGAGUGAAGAAGGUUUUCGGACCGUAAAGCUCUGUUGUUGGUGAAGAAGGAUAGAGGUAGUAACUGGCCUUUAUUUGACGGUAAUCAACCAGAAAGUCACGGCUAACUACGUGCCAGCAGCCGCGGUAAUACGUAGGUGGCAAGCGUUGUCCGGAUUUAUUGGGCGUAAAGCGAGCGCAGGCGGAAGAAUAAGUCUGAUGUGAAAGCCCUCGGCUUAACCGAGGAAUUGCAUCGGAAACUGUUUUCUUGAGUGCAGAAGAGGAGAGUAGAACUCCAUGUGUAGCGGUGGAAUGCGUAGAUAUAUGGAAGAAUACCAGUGGCGAAGGCGGCUCUCUGGUCUGCAACUGACGCUGAGGCUCGAAAGCAUGGGUAGCGAACAGGAUUAGAUACCCUGGUAGUCCAUGCCGUAAACGAUGAGUGCUAAGUGUUG
rnacentral:rRNA from 1 species